GUAGGUGGCAAGCGUUGUCCGGAAUUAUUGGGCGUAAAGCGCGCGCAGGCGGUUCUUUAAGUCUGAUGUGAAAGCCCACGGCUCAACCGUGGAGGGUCAUUGGAAACUGGAGAACUUGAGUACAGAAGAGGAAAGCGGAAUUCCACGUGUAGCGGUGAAAUGCGUAGAGAUGUGGAGGAACACCAGUGGCGAAGGCGGCUUUCUGGUCUGUAACUGACGCUGAGGCGCGAAAGCGUGGGGAGCAAACAGGAUUAGAUACCCUGGUAGUCCACGCCGUAAACGAUGAGUGCUAAGUGUUAGGGGGUUUCCGCCCCCCUUAGUGCUGCAGCUAACGCAUUAAGCACUCCGCCUGGGAGUACGGCCGCAAGGCCG
rnacentral:rRNA from 1 species